AUUGAACGCUGGCGGCAUGCUUUACACAUGCAAGUCGAACGGCAGCGCGGGCUUCGGCCUGGCGGCGAGCGGCGAACGGGUGAGUAAUACAUCGGAACGUGCCCAGUAGUGGGGGAUAGCUCGGCGAAAGCCGGAUUAAUACCGCAUACGACCUGAGGGUGAAAGCGGGGGAUCUUCGGACCUCGCGCUAUUGGAGCGGCCGAUGGCAGAUUAGCUAGUUGGUGGGGUAAAGGCCUACCAAGGCGACGAUCUGUAGCUGGUCUGAGAGGACGACCAGCCACACUGGGGCUGAGACACGGCCCAGACUCCUACGGGAGGCAGCAGUGGGGAAUUUUGGACAAUGGGCGAAAGCCUGAUCCAGCAAUGCCGCGUGUGUGAUGAAGGCCUUCGGGUUGUAAAGCACUUUUGGCGGGAACGAAAAGGACUGUGCCAAUACCACGGUUCGAUGACGGUACCCGCAGAAUAAGCACCGGCUAACUACGU
rnacentral:rRNA from 1 species